rnacentral:tRNA from 1 species
CCGUCACUAACUCAUCGGGUAAGAGUGCAUAACGCGUAUUGUUGUUUUGUGGUGCGGGGUUCGAGUCCCCGGUGACGGUCCA